CGGCGGAUGGGUGAGUAACACGUGGGCAACCUGCCUGUAAGAUCGGGAUAACUCCGGGAAACCGGUGCUAAUACCGUAUAAUGCUACAUGUCACAUGAGAUGUAGAUAAAAGGCGGCUUUUGCUGUCACUUACAGAUGGGCCCGUGGCGCAUUAGCUAGUUGGUGGGAUAAAGGCCUACCAAGGCAACGAUGCGUAGCCGACCUGAGAGGGUGAUCGGCCACACUGGGACUGAGACACGGCCCAGACUCCUACGGGAGGCAGCAGUAGGGAAUCUUCCGCAAUGGACGAAAGUCUGACGGAGCAACGCCGCGUGAGUGAUGAAGGUUUUCGGAUCGUAAAACUCUGUUGUUAGGGAAGAACAAGUAUCGUUCGAAUAGGGCGGUACCUUGACGGUACUUAACCAGAAAGCCCCGGCUAACUACGUGCCAGCAGCCGCGGUAAUACGUAGGGGGCGAGCGUUGUCCGGAAUUAUUGGGCGUA
rnacentral:rRNA from 1 species